GUUGAAACACUGCUUGCCAUACGAUCACCGAAGGUAAGCAACGUCGAACCUGGUCAAUACUUAGCUGGGUGACUGCUUGGGAAUACCAGGUGC